AGAGUUGAUCAUGGCUCAGAACGAACGCUGGCGGCGCGUCUUAAGCAUGCAAGUCGAGCGGGAAUACCUAGCUUGCUAGGUAUGAGAGCGGCGGACUGGUGAGUAACGCGUGGGUGACGUACCCUCCGGACGGGGAUAGCUCCUAGAAAUAGGAGGUAAUACCGGAUACGGUGUAUGUUGUCAGAGGACAUACAGGAAAGCAGCCUUUGCUGCGCCGGAGGAGCGGCCCGCGUACUAUUAGCUAGUUGGUGAGGUAACGGCCCACCAAGGCGACGAUAGUUAUCCGGCCUGAGAGGGUGAACGGACACAUUGGGACUGAGAUACGGCCCAGACUCCUACGGGAGGCAGCAGCUAAGAAUAUUCCGCAAUGGGGGAAACCCUGACGGAGCGACGCCGCGUGGAAUGAUGAAGGCCGGAAGGUUGUAAAAUCCUUUUGUACGCGAGGAAUAAAUAAAGUGAGAGAAACGCUUUGUGGUGACGGUAGCGUACGAAUAAGCAACGGCUAAUUACGUGCCAGCCGCGGC
rnacentral:rRNA from 1 species